ensembl:snRNA U6 U6 spliceosomal RNA
GUGCUCACUUCGGCAGCACAUAUACUAAAAUUGGGACAACACAGAGAAGAUUUGCAUGGCCCCUGAGCAAGAAUGACACAUAAUUUGUGAAGCAUUUCAUAUUUUU